UACGUAGGGCGCAAGCGUUGUCCGGAAUUAUUGGGCGUAAAGAGCUCGUAGGCGGCCAGUUGCGUCUGCUGUGAAAUCCCGGGGCUCAACCCCGGGCGUGCAGUCGAUACGGGCAGGCUAGAGUUCGGCAGGGGAGACUGGAAUUCCUGGUGUAGCGGUGAAAUGCGCAGAUAUCAGGAGGAACACCGGUGGCGAAGGCGGGUCUCUGGGCCGAUACUGACGCUGAGGAGCGAAAGCGUGGGGAGCGAACAGG
rnacentral:rRNA from 1 species